UACGAAGGGGGCUAGCGUUGUUCGGAAUCACUGGGCGUAAAGCGCACGUAGGCGGAUCUUUAAGUCAGAGGUGAAAUCCCAAGGCUCAACCUUGGAACUGCCUUUGAUACUGGGGAUCUUGAGUCCGGGAGAGGUGAGUGGAACUGCGAGUGUAGAGGUGAAAUUCGUAGAUAUUCGCAAGAACACCAGUGGCGAAGGCGGCUCACUGGCCCGGUACUGACGCUGAGGUGCGAAAAGCGUGGGGAGCAAACAGGG
rnacentral:rRNA from 1 species